rnacentral:lncRNA from 1 species
UGAUAUCCCUGCCUGCGCAUAUAUGGUGACUGGAAGCCACCAAUGAGUGAUAAUAGCAAACCCUGAGUUGAAAGGAGCCAUAAUUACCAGCUGACAGUGUGCAUACAAUAAGUACAUUAUUGAAGUUUUCCAGUCAAGAGAGCAAUAAAAUUUAAUCUGAGAUCACAUUGGUGACCACUGAUUACAAUUCUAAAACAGA